ACAACACGAGAAGCGGGAAAACUAUCAUUGUCAUUCACUGAUGCACUACAGGCCCGUACACUUAAGAAGUAUUCAUACUGUACUUGAAGACAGACAGAUGAUAAAACUAAAGGAAAAAUGAAUAAAAUAGUGGGGAAACAGAAAGAACACACAUGCUUCCACACGCUUUGAAAUUAAAUGAAUCAUAUGCUGUGAGCAUAUGCUGAGUGACCAGAUCUUAACACAUCUGAAAAUCUAUGGGAGGUUCUUGGACCAACCAACCAUUAAAACACCAAAUGAAGGAACAUACAUUAUUUUUGAAAAAUGGUGUUCAUACCUCCACUAUAGUUCAGGAGAGAGCUGAAUUCAUUUUUCAAAUAACAAUUCAAUGACACUUGUGGUCAUCCAUAAAGUCGCCAUCACAAGCUGAUUGUCAGCUGAUCUUAAAAUAACAAAACUGAUUAAGAGGAUAUGAGUUUAUUUAUUUAUUUAAAUUUCUGUAUUUAAUUUCGGAAUAUGAGUAGGCUAUUAGAAAACCUGAUCCACACUCCAGUCGACUUGGUGGCAGUAAUGUACCAAUUCGUUGUUUACCAACCGCCAAUAAACUUCAAAGAAUAAGAAGAAUAAGAAUAAGAAUAAGAAUAAGAAUAAGAAUAAGAAGAAGAAGAAGAAGAAGAAGAAGAAGAAGAAGAAGAAGAAGAAGAAGAAGAAGAAGAAGAAGAAGAAGAAGAAGAAGAAGAAGAAGAAGAAGAAGCAGCAGCAGCAGAAGAAGAAGCAGAAGAAGCAGAAGAAGAAGGACGCUACCACCUGACUAGUAAGGGCUAAUCAUAUUCAUGCAGGUGCUCGACGCGGCUUUUACGACAUUUCUCACUACUCUGGAGGAUACUCUGUCAAUAAAAAGAGACGCUGUGGUCGGCUGCUUCAGCUUCCAGGACAGAAGAGAGCCGAGUCGAAAACCACCGCUCACUCACCUGAUUUCCACUCGCCAUUAACCCGAGGAGGAAGCCAGAGUAACCAGAGAGGACCCAUGCAGGACAUAAAAACUCCACAAAGCAAGGCCCCAGGCUUGGGGUUCUGACAACUGCACCACCUUGCUGCCCCAUAAAAAAGUCAUAGUAUAGAGGAAGCCGGAGUACAUGGAGAGAACCCAUGCAGGCACAAGGAGAACAUGCAAACUCCACACAGAAUGGUGCCAGGAGAACCCAGAACCUUCUCACUGUGAGGCACCAGUUCUGACCACUCAUUAUAGAGUAACUGGAGAGAACCCAUGCAGGAUCCACACGGAAUGGCCCCAGGCAAAUGUGAUGCGGUGUUACUGCCUCUGUGACAGCUGUGUUAUAGUGUGAGGUCAAUUUGCUUACCGGGACAAAGGCCGACCCGGUCACCGGUUGUGAAGGUGUUGUGCAGUUUGUGCAGAUGUCCUUCCAGAGAUGACACGUCCAGCUCUGUGUCUCCAUAGAGCCUUUCUCCCGCUCUCCUUGUUCAGUGAAGGGGUUCGAGUUCACAAUAAAGACAGCAAGAAACAGAAGUCAAAGGAGAGAUUAAGGUGUGAAAUGAAUAGUUUAAAUUAAACUCCUUUGGUAUCACCUUUGACCACAACCAAUGAAAUCUAUUUGAAGCACAUUUCUUUCUCAAAUCUUUUUGUGAUGAUCUAUUAACCCCGACAGAGAUAUCUGCCUUCUCGCUUGCCCCUCUUUCACAGGAAAGUUCAAGUAGAGACUUGGCAGGAGGAGAAACCCUGGAGCUUGUAGGAAUGCAUUUUAUCUUGUCCACGGACACUUAAACAGGGGAGCUGAGAGACGUUUAAGAAAUAAACACAGCUGAAAAUCA